rnacentral:misc_RNA from 1 species
GGAUUACUUGGAUGCAAGUGAACCUUACUUUGCUGUUGGCGAAUACUGGGAUUCCCUGAGCUAUACUUAUGGUGAGAUGGAUCAUAAUCAAGAUGCUCAUAGGCAGAGAAUCGUUGACUGGAUAAAUGCUACUAAUGGAACUGCUGGGGCCUUUGAUGUCACUACCAAAGGAAUCCUUCAUUCAGCACUUGAUAGAUGUGAAUAUUGGCGAUUAUCAGAUGACAAAGGAAAACCUCCCGGAGUUGUUGGAUGGUGGCCCUCUCGUGCUGUUACCUUUAUAGAGAAUCAUGACACCGGAUCUACUCAGGGUCAUUGGAGAUUU